rnacentral:rRNA from 1 species
GAUGAACGCUGGCGGCGUGCCUAAUACAUGCAAGUCGAGCGAACGGACGAGAAGCUUGCUUCUCUGAUGUUAGCGGCGGACGGGUGAGUAACACGUGGAUAACCUACCUAUAAGACUGGGAUAACUUCGGGAAACCGGAGCUAAUACCGGAUAAUAUUUUGAACCGCAUGGUUCAAAAGUGAAAGACGGUCUUGCUGUCACUUAUAGAUGGAUCCGCGCAGCAUUAGCUAGUUGGUAAGGUAACGGCUUACCAAGGCAACGAUGCAUAGCCGACCUGAGAGGGUGAUCGGCCACACUGGAACUGAGACACGGUCCAGACUCCUACGGGAGGCAGCAGUAGGGAAUCUUCCGCAAUGGGCGAAAGCCUGACGGAGCAACGCCGCGUGAGUGAUGAAGGUCUUCGGAUCGUAAAACUCUGUUAUUAGGGAAGAACAUAUAUGUAAGUAACUGUGCACAUCUUGACGGUACCUAAUCAGAAAGCCACGGCUAACUACGUGCCAGCAGCCGCGGUAAUACGUAGGUGGCAAGCGUUAUCCGGAAUUAUUGGGCGUAAAGCGCGCGUAGGCGGUUUUUUAAGUCUGAUGUGAAAGCCCACGGCUCAACCGUGGAGGGUCAUUGGAAACUGGAAAACUUGAGUGCAGAAGAGGAAAGUGGAAUUCCAUGUGUAGCGGUGAAAUGCGCAGAGAUAUGGAGGAACACCAGUGGCGAAGGCGACUUUCUGGUCUGUAACUGACGCUGAUGUGCGAAAGCGUGGGGAUCAAACAGGAUUAGAUACCCUGGUAGUCCACGCCGUAAACGAUGAGUGCUAAGUGUUAGGGGGUUUCCGCCCCUUAGUGCUGCAGCUAACGCAUUAAGCACUCCGCCUGGGGAGUACGACCGCAAGGUUGAAACUCAAAGGAAUUGACGGGGACCCGCACAAGCGGUGGAGCAUGUGGUUUAAUUCGAAGCAACGCGAAGAACCUUACCAAAUCUUGACAUCCUUUGACAACUCUAGAGAUAGAGCUUUCCCCUUCGGGGGACAAAGUGACAGGUGGUGCAUGGUUGUCGUCAGCUCGUGUCGUGAGAUGUUGGGUUAAGUCCCGCAACGAGCGCAACCCUUAAGCUUAGUUGCCAUCAUUAAGUUGGGCACUCUAAGUUGACUGCCGGUGACAAACCGGAGGAAGGUGGGGAUGACGUCAAAUCAUCAUGCCCCUUAUGAUUUGGGCUACACACGUGCUACAAUGGACAAUACAAAGGGCAGCGAAACCGCGAGGUCAAGCAAAUCCCAUAAAGUUGUUCUCAGUUCGGAUUGUAGUCUGCAACUCGACUACAUGAAGCUGGAAUCGCUAGUAAUCGUAGAUCAGCAUGCUACGGUGAAUACGUUCCCGGGUCU